UUUUUUCUUUCCAGGACUGUGGCAACUGCGAAGGGGUCUCUUGCUGGAUCCCAGUCUCGGGGGUGGCACUAUCUCAUUUGUCCGGGAAUUCAAGGUUUACCAAGUUUGCAUCACUCUUUUACUCAUUACUCUUUGCAAUCCCACUAUCGCCACUCUGAUCUACUCAACCACAUUCCACAGUCACAUACUGUUGCCUAUCUUUUGCUACAUUUGCCCGCUUCACAUUUUUAGCUAUAUCUUGCCA
rnacentral:lncRNA from 1 species